UGUGUAAGAGAGACCCAUUUACAGCAAAAAGAUGAAAUGUAUGUUGUGGGAGGGGAAAAAUAUCCUAAAAAUGUGUUUACAAUAAAACAAACAGGGAUGGUUCAGACAUGUGGUUGAGUACAAUAGAGCUGACUUAUUCUGUUAAACUGAAUGGGUUUAACCACCCCCUCACUGAAUAGCCAGGGUGACUGUGAUUACUCACCCUUGUUGCCAUAGGGUUAAAUUUGAUGGGGGUGCACCCAUAGUAAGGGAGGUGGGUGGGUGAGGAUGAUGAGUUCUGAUUAACAUGAAAUGAAAUAAAACCUCAGGAGUUUGCAGAUGCUAUUGGACAGUUUAAAUAUAACCCCUGGAGUUAGCAGAACCCUAUAGGCCAGUUUAAAUAUGAUGCCAG